UGAAUACGAGACGCUAAGGCGUCGAAGUAGUGUAUGUCAUACUUCCAAGAAAAGCUUGCACUGUCAUAGAUAAAAAACGCCUGUACCACAACCGACACAGGUGGGUAGGUAGAGUAUACUAAGGGGCGCGAGAUAACUCUCUCUAAGGAACUCGGCAAAAUAACUCCGUAACUUCGGGAGAAGGAGUGCCUUAUUCGUAAGGUUGCAAUAACAAGAUCCAAGCAACUGUUUAUCAAAAACACAGGUCUCCGCUAAGUCGUAAGACGAUGUAUGGGGGCUGACGCCUGCCCAGUGCCAGAAGGUUAAAGAAGUUGGUUAGCAAUUGCGAAGCUGAUAACUGAAGCCCUGGUGAACGGCGGCCGUAACGAUAACGGUCCUAAGGUAGCGAAAUUCCUUGUCGGGUAAGUUCCGACCCGCACGAAAGGCGUAAUGAUUUGGAUACUGUCUCGGAGAGGGGCUCGGUGAAAUAGACUUGUCUGUGAAGAUGCGGACUACCUGCACCAGGACAGAAAGACCCUAUGAAGCUUUACUGUAACUUGAAAUUGAAAUUGGACUUUAUUCGCGCAGUAUAGGUGGGAGGCGUUGAUUAUAAUCUUGUGGGAUUAUUGGAGCCAUCAGUGAGAUACCACUCUUGUAAUGUUAGAUUUCUAACUUUGAAUCAUUAUCUGGUCAAAGAACAGUUUCAGGCGGGCAGUUUGACUGGGGCGGUCGCCUCCUAAACGGUAACGGAGGCGUACAAAGGUUUCCUCUGAACGGUUAGAAAUCGUAUCUAGAGUGUAAAGGCAUAAGGAAGCUUGACUGUGAGACCUACAAGUCGAGCAGGGACGAAAGUCGGUCUUAGUGAUCUGACGGUACUGAGUGGAAAGGCCGUCACUCAACGGAUAAAAGUUACUCUAGGAUAACAGGCUGAUCUCCCCCAAGAGUUCACAUCGACGGGGAGGUUUGGCACCUCGAUGUCGGCUCAUCGCAUCCUGGGGCGGUAGUACGUCCCAAGGGUUGGGCUGUUCGCCCAUGAAAGCGGUACGCGAGCUGGGUUCAGAACGUCGUGAGACAGUUCGGUCCAUAUCCGGUGUAGGCGUUAGAAUAUUGAGAGGAGCCUUCUUUAGUACGAGAGGACCGAGAAGGACAUACCUCUGGUGUACCAGUUAUCGUGCCAACGGUAAACGCUGGGUAGCUAUGUAUGGAGUGGAUAACCGCUGAAAGCAUCUAAGUGGGAAGCCCACCUCAAGAUAAGUAUUCUCAUC
rnacentral:rRNA from 1 species